rnacentral:rRNA from 1 species
AGAGUUUGAUCAUGGCUCAGAGUGAACGCUAGCGGCGCGCCUAACACAUGCAAGUUGAGUGCCUUUAAAAGCACAGCAAACGGCUGCGUAACACGUUGGAACCUGCCCCGAACUCAGGGAUAACCCCGCGAAAGCGGGGCUAAUACCGGAUAGUCCCGAAAGGGUAAAGAUUUAUCGGUUCGGGAGGGGCCUGCGGCCUAUCAGCUAGUUGGUGAGGUAAUGGCUCACCAAGGCAAUGACGGGUAACUGGUCUGAGAGGACGACCAGUCAGAAUGGAACUGCGACACGGUCCAUACUCCUACGGGAGGCAGCAGUGAGGAAUCUUCCGCAAUGGACGAAAGUCUGACGGAGCGACGCCGCGUGGUGGAUGAAGGCCUUAACUGGUCGUAAACACCUGUUCUGAGGGACGAAAUUUUGACGGUACCUCAGAGAAAG